AGAUAGACGCUGAUCCCUGGCUGUGGAGAGGAUUCUCCCGAGCCCCUGAAAAAAAAAAAAGGUGGAGAGACUUUGAAAACUUUUCUCUCGAAAAGUCUGAGGAGGCAGAGGACGGCCCGGAGUCUCGUAGCGCACCGCCCUGGUCCCACACCCCCCGCAGCCCUAGGAGGAUCGGUGUGCUGAGCUUGUGGCCAGGAGCUCCCCGAGCCACUUUCGCGCGAGCAGCAGAAAACCUGAGCCGCGGCCCGGCGAGUGUCGGCGGCGCUCUGGGGAGGAGAGGCUGGGAAGGGGCUGCGAGAGAUGCUACUUAAGAACGUGAGGCUGAGAGGCGGACUUGGUCAGAUCUGCCUGCGUGACAAGCUCAGGACAGGACGCUUCUGCCCUUGCAUUACUGUUGUAAAAGUUUCCACCCAGUCCCUGGUCGCACUGCGUUCCCAUCCCGGCAGAUGUGAACUCAAAAACUUCCUCCGCUGUGCAGUUUCAAUUGGCAGACACACCCUGUACCUGAAUGACUCAGAAGGAGGCAGAAUGAACAAACAACAGACCCCUGACUUCUGGGAUUUUGUGAGUUUGCCAAAAAAAAAAAAAAAAGAAGUGACAGUUAAUUCACAGCUGUUUUAAAGCAUUCAUCGACAGCGACGCACCCAAUACAUACCCACAGCUUCAACAACAGUACAGUGCAUAUAAUGUGGAAACCAAGAUAACGGUCCUCUAAGACUCCAGAGUAGAUCCUAAUUGGAUUUGAAGACUUAUUUCACUUAAAGGGGAAGAGGUAUAUUGUGUCUACCCAGCACAACAAAACGGGGGACUUGGCAUUCCCCCCCUUCUCCCGCCUCCACCCACACUAAUUUAUGCAUUCUUUAAAGCCAAAGGAAUCAAAGUGAAAUUUCACACCUAGUCUGUAUCAAGCAUGUGCUAGGUUAAUUUAACCUUACUGCUCUGUGAAGUAAGUAAGCAUUGCUGGCCAUUUUAUUGUUGAGAGAAGUGUCAUUCAGACAACUAAGGUGACUUGUAGAUUUCCCAGCUAGUGAGUGGCAGAGCUGGGUUCCAAAACCUAAAUAUUGCAAAUGCCUUGCCUUGUGGCUCAAACGCUAUCAGUCAAUAAAUAGUUAAGGAAUUGAAAUAUAUGUUCCUAGAGGGAAACAGACUUCUAGAUUUAAAGUUUUACAUUUGCUGCAUUUCUGACUGUACAAGUCUACAAAAUGCAUAUAAAAGUAUGCUAAUGAAUGUCCUUUUAAAACCACUCAUUUUCUACGUAAGCAUACAAAGUGUAUACAUAUGCAUAUUAAUGAAUGUUUUCUGAAACUUCUCAUUGUCUGCCUAUGAUAUCUCAUGUAACAUUGUACUUUUAGUAUUUGCACAUAGUGUUACACAUAUUAAUCCAUUUAAUCUGACAAGUUAGGCACUAUAAUUAUUCUAAUUUUACAAACAAGGAAAUUGACUCCCAGACAUAUUAAGCAGCUUGCUUAAUGUGGGACAGGCUGCAGACUCUUAACCACUACUCCAGACCACCAUGAUAAACCUCAAACAGGUUCAAGAAUUUCCUUGGGGAUAUCAGUUGUUUUCUUGUGAAUACCACUGGUUUUUAACAUUCAAUAUUGAUAAAGUGUUUUACAGAGUCCAAAAA
ensembl:lncRNA S1PR1-DT S1PR1 divergent transcript